rnacentral:pre_miRNA from 1 species
AAUAAACAAAUUUCUGAGAUUUUGGAUGGAGUUUUUGACUCUUCGUCUUAUUUGAAAUUUUUUUAUGAUUAAUAUUUUUAUUGUUACUACAUGAUAAAACAUGAAUAGUACUUUACAUGCGACUAAUUUUUUUAUUUUUUAAUAAAUUUUUUAAAUAAGAAGGAUGGUCAAACACUCGAACUAGAAAAACCCAAA